GGAUUGUAGGCUGCAACUCGCCUACAUGAAGUCGGAAUUGCUAGUAAUCGCGGAUCAGCAUGCCGCGGUGAAUACGUUCCCGGGCCUUGUACACACCGCCCGUCACACCAUGGGAGUCGGUAACACCCGAAGCCUGUAGUCUAACCGCAAGGAGGACGCAGUCGAAGGUGGGAUUGAUGACUGGGGUGAAGUCGUAACAAGGUACC
rnacentral:rRNA from 1 species